rnacentral:rRNA from 1 species
UACGUAGGGGGCAAGCGUUGUCCGGAAUCAUUGGGCGUAAAGAGCGCGUAGGCGGCCCUGUAAGUCCGCUGUGAAAGUCCAGGGCUCAACCCUGGGAUGCCGGUGGAUACUGUCGGACUAGAGUACGGAAGAGGCGAGUGGAAUUCCCGGUGUAGCGGUGAAAUGCGCAGAUAUCGGGAGGAACACCAAUUGCGAAGGCAGCUCGCUGGGACGUUACUGACGCUGAGACGCGAAAGCGUGGGGAGCAAACAGGG